GUGCUUGCUUAGGCAGCACAUAUAUUAAAGUCGGAACCAACCAUACAAAGAAGAUUUGCGUGGGCCCGAAGCAAGGAUGACACCGAAAUUCGUGAAAUAAAAAAUAAAUAA